ACGUGUGAAUGUGGGAUCGGCAUGAGUCAUUGCGCAUGGGGUGUGAACGCUUCUCGUUCUUUGGGAUUUCUUUUGGCGGAAACCCUCUUGAAAAUUUUGGUGGCGGCGACGAGUACUCCGACCGACGGCAGCAGAUGGCCGGACGCGGACCUUCGAACGGGAUGGAGUUUCUACAAGAUCCGGUGGACCGGUUACAGUGGAUGGAAGAGUUCGCCGACAACUUGGAGCUUCAGAUCCGGUGGCCCUGGCUGUGCUGCCACCUCCGUGAUCUCCCCGCCAUGAUCCGGCCGAUUCCAACGGGGGCUCCGGAUGUACACCUCAUGUUGUCCCCUCAACCGCUGCAGUCAAUUCGAAUGGGGGCUCCUGUUGUGCGCAAGUUGUCGGCGCAGGACUCAAACACCCAAGUUGGGAAGAAACUAGACCAAGGAAGAAUGCGUCCCCAGCGCAGUCGGUGCAGUCGACGGGGAAGGUGAACCCGGAAGCACAGGGAAGGUAAGUCAAGUUCAGUCAUCUGUACCACAGGGAAGCACAGGGAAGGUAAACCCAUGCGUUUGGUGAGGUGUUUGUGAUUAUUACCUUAAUUUGAGAAGAAGACACUUACUCUAGUAUAGAACAACUAAUAAUGCAAUCAGCGUGUUGUCCAGAGUCAAGCUACCUUGAUUGCAGUAUUUUUGUUAUUACUGGAUAAAUACCCAUGCUUUCAGUCUCCGGCUGGGCAGUUGCUCCUCCAAACUCCUUGCACAUCCCGCGUGAGCGCUCUUGAGCAAUCCAUACGGAAAUUCGCUGAGGAGCUAAGAAAAGGUGUUGUAAAGCAGGAGUUAGGAAUAAGUUUGACUCGUUGGGCGAGGCUAUGACUUCUAUAACCUUUAUUCUUGCGAGAUAGGAUUUGGAAUUUGCUAUGGGAAAAGCAGAUUAAACGCAUAGAGGACCAAAUCGAUGCAGGAGAUUGUUUGCGGAUGUUCGGGAAACCCAGAAGCAGAGAACAACCAUUCUUGCAGAUGUGAGUGUCCGGCACUGAUCAGGCUUCUACGAGCGGACGACAAGAGUUGGUUCAUUACUGAGCAUCAUGAGAAACAUAACCACUCAAUGUCGCUAACUAUGGGGGAGAAGGUGCAUUGGCCAUCGCAAAAACGCAUAUAUUUGUAUACUAAGGAUCUGGUAAAGGCAGAACAAUGUAAAUCGAGGGAAAACUUACAGCAUCAUCGGAAGCUUUUUUGGGUCUAUGGAAAAUUUCCCUUUCACUAAGCAGACUUCGAGAAACAUUUGUGGAAAUAUUAGUCGUGAGCAAGCAGAGGAUGAUGUCCUGAAAGUCCUCGAUGCUUUCAGAGAGAUACAAGCGGGUGACCCGGAUUUCUCCUAUCGGGUGCUGGCUGACAGCGAGAGCAAAAUCAAGAAUAUCAUCCGGACUAAUAGGAAGCUCAAUGCACAUGUUCUUCAAGCAGUACAUGAGGCUUCAAUUUGAUCGAGAGAGGGAGUUAUGAAGAGAAAAGGACAAUGAUUGUGAGUUGACUUUUCAGAAGCUCUAUCGCUUAAAUCCAUUUUCUUUGGACUAUUUUUUGGAUUGGUGUAGUGUAUUGAUGUUAGAGUGGUGCAGUCAUGAAGACGAACCUUGCAGUAGAACGGCAUGCGAACAGGUACAUACUCGUGCAAUGUUUUUGAGAAGUUUGGCCAAAUCCUGUUGAAUCUGGUUUAUACAAGGUGACAGAGAUCGAGAAGGGAAAGAGGUACUUGACGACACACAUUAAUGCUGCUAAGUGGGGAAGAUGGAGUAGGGUUGUGUACAAGGUGACGAUCAAAGACGGAGGGGCGGAAUUUUGAGGAUAAUGGAUGGGCUUGACAUUGAAGAGAUACCUCAGAAACACAUUGUGAGAGGUGGACGAAAUAUGCAACGGACAUACUUCUGGGUAACCUAGCACAUUACCACAAGGAUAAAGCUGUGAGCCAGUCUUCCACAUGGAGGUACUCGACUAUGUACAUUCAGGCCAUGGAGUUGGUGAGGAUGGUGACGCAAGUGCUGAAGUUUAUGAGCACAUGCCCCGUGGAAUGAAGGCUCUGAUGGUGAGUUGUGCCUGUUAGCAGAGAAGAGGGAUGGACUUGGCUUUUAAGGCCGUCAGGCUGCAUAUACUGCUAGUAGAAUGGUUGCAGAUGGUGAAAGUAUUGUUGCUGGAGGCAUGGAUGAUGUGCAAAUGCUUUUGCACUGCAAGGUCUUGCCCCUCCAGGGAAGAUGAGGGGUGUCGGAAGGUCGACGAACAGUCGUGAGAAGGCGCCGCACAAGGGCCUAAGCAAGCGCGCACGAUUCUAUAGUACUAUUUGCUGCUGGCAGCCUGGCACAGGAGAACUACCUGCCCUGAACGUGAUCACGCACCAAAGCAAACCCCCGCAAGCUUGGAAAAUGCACGAAUUGCAGCCUCGAAGGUCACUGGCGGAACACCUGCACCAGGCCUCUUGGAGGCCAUCAGUCUUGAAACUGUGCCGUACUCAUGUAGCGUUUUCAGCAUACAAUUUGAGGAUUUCUAAUCAUGUUCGUUGAGCUAUGCUCCACGCUUGUUCCUCUUUGCCUUGUUCCCUAUAACUUUGUAUCAUUAGGUUAGUUUGCCUUUGGUCUGAACAUUUAAAAAUUCAGUGCAUUCGAGUGUAUCAGUUGUGCUGUUGUUAAA